ACAAACUUGGUCAUUUAGAGGAAGUAAAAGUCGUAACAAGGUUUCCGUAGGUGAGUAGAAGCGUUUGAUCUUAUCUUUAUAUGCUUGAAUAACUUGCUAACUUUUUUAGGUGAACCUGCGGAAGGAUCAUUACCGAGUGUGGCCCCCUUUCUAUAUAAGAGGGGUACCUCCCGUCCUUUGCAGGCCCUUUAGGGGCUUUUUGACUUUGCUUCGGCGGGGUUACCCCGCCGGAACACCCUCAAGAAAAUCUUAAAUGAACUUGUUGUCUGAGUUGCUUGCGAAUACACAAAACUUUCAACAACGGAUCUCUUGGUUCUGGCAUCGAUGAAGAACGCAGC
rnacentral:misc_RNA from 1 species